CGCGCUUACUCCACCCUUCACGUAACGCCCGCGGAAAAUACAAAAGGAGGAAAGCAUCCCGCUGGACCGGCGGUGCGGCAGUGUGGAGACCUGCCGUAAAGCGGCGCGCGCAAGCGGCCGCGAGGCGCUGCAUCGCGGAGGCGGCAGCACUGCGGUCCACAGCUAUGGCA
rnacentral:ncRNA from 1 species